rnacentral:lncRNA from 1 species
AGAGCAAAGCUUAUCUCAAUGGGAUUGAUGCACCACGAAUCCUGGAACCAAUUACAAUGGUCAUCAAGGUAAGCAAAAAGAUAGAUCUCCGAGGUAAAAAAGGCACUGAAGAUGAUUACCUGUGGUCGAGUAGCUACUUGGAAGUAUCUGUGUCGUCUCGGCAGGACUGUAUCUCGGUAAGGAAGGGCCACUUAUCCAUAUCGGAUCCUGCGUAGCAUAUUUCCUCGGCCAAGGUGGCUCCCUGCGCUAUCAUAUGAACUGGAGAUGGCUGCGAGUUUUCAAGAACGAUCGAGACCGGCGAGAUCUUGUUACCUGUGGCUGUGCCGGAGGAGUUGCAGCGGCGUUUCGAGCACCGAUUGGAGGAGUUCUAUUUGCACUCGAGGAAGUAACUUCAUGGUACGUUGUAUCUUCUGCUCCGCCUUGUUUUCCUGAUUCAAACCUGUAGGUGG